rnacentral:rRNA from 1 species
AUUGAACGCUGGCGGCAUGCCUUACACAUGCAAGUCGAACGGCAGCACGGGAGCAAUCCUGGUGGCGAGUGGCGAACGGGUGAGUAAUAUAUCGGAACGUGCCCAGUCGUGGGGGAUAACGUAGCGAAAGCUACGCUAAUACCGCAUACGAUCUAUGGAUGAAAGCGGGGGAUCGCAAGACCUCGCGCGAUUGGAGCGGCCGAUAUCAGAUUAGGUAGUUGGGGGGGUAAAGGCUCAACAAGCCGACGAUCUGUAGCUGGUCUGAGAGGACGACCAGCCACACUGGGACUGAGACACGGCCCAGACUCCUACGGGAGGCAGCAGUGGGGAAUUUUGGACAAUGGGCGCAAGCCUGAUCCAGCAAUGCCGCGUGCAGGAUGAAGGCCUUCGGGUUGUAAACUGCUUUUGUACGGAACGAAACGGCGAGCUCUAAUACAGUUUGCUAAUGACGGUACCGUAAGAAUAAGCACCGGCUAACUACGUGCCAGCCGCCGCGGUAA